rnacentral:rRNA from 3 species
AACUUUCAGCAACGGAUCUCUUGGCUCUCGCAUCGAUGAAGAACGCAGCGAAAUGCGAUAAGUAAUGUGAAUUGCAGAAUUCAGUGAAUCAUCGAAUCUUUGAACGCACCUUGCGCCCUUUGGCUAUUCUGAAGGGCAUGCCUGUUUGAGUAUCAUG